rnacentral:tRNA from 1 species
CAAAAUGUAGCUUAAUAAAAAGCUCCUCGCUUACACCGAGAAAAUGUCUGUGCAAUCGGAUCAUUUUGA